ensembl:lncRNA
GUUUCGACGAUGGACCUUGGUGAUGGACCAAAUUAUUUCUCUGAGUCUUAACAAAAAGGAGAAACACACACGUUCCCCUUUGCCCCCCCAUUCCCAACAAGAAACAAGAAGGAGCCAGCAUUUACCUUUAUGAGGGAGGAUUAAAAAAUUAUGAGCAUUUCAAGAUUCCCACAGCACGUGAGAAGCCCACAGCACGUGAAAAGCCCACAGCAUGUGAGAAGCCCACAGCACGUGAGAAGCCCACAGCAUGUGACAGAACUGACAACAGUGAUUGUGGGGAAGCUGGAAUCAGCAAGUGGAAAAGACGUGGUUGUCACUCACCCAAAGACCAAACGAUUGGCUGAAGUUGUAAAAGAGUGAACUGAAGCACUCUAGGGCUCCAUCAGUUGAGUUGGUAAAGAAAGUAGCCAGCCACAGGUUUGGAGAGCAGAUCUCGAAGCCCAAGCAGACGAUCCUUCUAGCGGGUGACGAAGAAGAGGUGAUGCCCGUCAUCAGCACCAUGAUCAACUACUUCCUGGGAGGAUGACUUCUGUUUCAAGCUGCCCCUAAAAUGACAAGGCUGUUGUUGUAUAGGAAAUCAGUUACCACAAUGGAUUUCAGAUCCCCUUCUCUUUCAAGGUGUCGCCCAUCUUCCCCAUUAUCCCCUAUUCCUUUCCGGUUUUGACCGUUCUGCCUGCCCUGAACAUGACCCUGACCCUGACCCUGAGCCUGACCCUGCCUGCCGUUCUGUACCUUGCCCCACCUAACUGGAUUAUUGACCCCUGCCUGUCCUGACCCUGAGACUGCCUGCCGUUCUGGACUCUUUGCACCCUCUCUAGAUUAUUUACCCCUGCCUGCC